rnacentral:rRNA from 1 species
CCUACGGGUGGCAGCAGUGGGGAAUAUUGCACAAUGGGGGAAACCCUGAUGCAGCGACGCCGCGUGGGUGACGAAGUAUUUCGGUAUGUAAAGCCCUAUCAGCAGGGAAGAAGAUGACAGUACCUGACUAAGAAGCCCCGGCUAACUACGUGCCAGCAGCCGCGGUAAUACGUAGGGGGCAAGCGUUAUCCGGAUUUACUGGGUGUAAAGGGAGCGUAGGUGGCAUGGCAAGCCAGAAGUGGAAACCCGGGGCUUAACCCCGCGGAUUGCUUUUGGAACUGUCAGGCUGGAGUGCAGGAGGGGCAGGCGGAAGUCCUGGUGUAGCGGUGAAAUGCGUAGAUAUCAGGAGGAACACCGGUGGCGAAGGCGGCAUGCUGGACUGUAACUGACACUGAGGCUCGAAAGCGUGGGGAGCAAACAGGAUUAGAUACCCUAGUAGUC